rnacentral:rRNA from 1 species
GUGGGGAAUCUUGCGCAAUGGGCGAAAGCCUGACGCAGCCAUGCCGCGUGAAUGAUGAGGGUCUUAGGAUUGUAAAAUUCUUUCACCGGGGACGAUAAUGACGGUACCCGGAGAAGAAGCUCCGGCUAACUUCGUGCCAGCAGCCGCGGUAAUACGAAGGGGGCUAGCGUUGCUCGGAAUUACUGGGCGUAAAGGGCGCGUAGGCGGACAGCUUAGUCAGAGGUGAAAGCCCAGGGCUCAACCUUGGAAUUGCCUUUGAUACUGGCUGCCUUGAGUUUGGGAGAGGUGAGUGGAACUCCGAGUGUAGAGGUGAAAUUCGUAGAUAUUCGGAAGAACACCAGUGGCGAAGGCGACUCACUGGCCCAAUACUGACGCUGAGGCGCGAAAGCGUGGGGAGCAAACAGGAUUAGAAACCCUGGUAGUCC